UGCAUGCUUCUGAUGUAUCUCAAUGACAGUGACGAUGCAUCUGUUUCAGUUUGAAAAUACACCAUCUGUUCUUCAGAUCUGAUGGUUCAAAUGGUCAUCUCUAUUGGAUGUUUUUCCCA
rnacentral:lncRNA from 14 species